rnacentral:rRNA from 1 species
UACAGAGGGUGCGAGCGUUAAUCGGAAUUACUGGGCGUAAAGCGCGCGUAGGCGGCUUUUCAAGUCGAUUGUGAAAUCCCCGGGCUUAACCUGGGAACUGCAGUCGAGACUGUCUAGCUAGAGUAUGGGAGAGGGAAGUGGAAUUUCAGGUGUAGCGGUGAAAUGCGUAGAUAUCUGAAGGAACAUCAGUGGCGAAGGCGGCAUCCUGGACCGAGAUUGACGCUGAUGCGCGAAAGCCAGGGGAGCAAACGGG